CAAGAGAACAAGUUGCUACAAUGAUGAAUGCAAUAGUGAGAUGACGAGAUGUAACUGAACAAGACAGCGGAAAUUGUGCAAGCUGCUGUUUCAAUGUAAGAAUGUGCUAUGCUCCUUCUCUUUGUCUGGAGUUGUUUCUCAGAUAUUGGUGGAACUGGAGUUAAAUGUCAGGUCAGGGUAUGGACCACAUUAUGGUUAUUCAGUGGUGGAUCCUGUUAUGCAUAUCAGGGUAUUCUGCUGAGGUGAUGAAGAGGAGCAUCUUCUUGAUCUCUGGUCAGACAGAGAGUGUGCAUCUGUCUGUGUCAGACCUGGCUCAACCUCACUGGUCAGAGUUCAGCUGGGAGUGGACCUCACAUGAUGGGAGAUACUCAGAGAUUCAAAUAGCCAGAGCAAUAUCCUCUAGGCUAGUGGUUAGUCCACCUUUCACAGAGUACUUUUCUUGCAGCAAAGACUUUGACGUAACAGUGAAGCCGAAGUUUGAAUGUGCAGGGGUGUUUUUGUUGGUAAGAGCAAAUGUCCCAUUGGUUAAGAUUGAGAUCUUCGCCACAAAAAUUACACCUUCCUUUUGGCCUUCAUUUCGUCUGGGUUCUGAUGUGAGUGUUAGUUGCGAGUUGUCCAGCCUACCAGAUGGGGCCACACUGCAGUGGGAAAGAGAUGGAGAUUCCACUUCUAACACCACGCUGUUCUACAAUAACACUGUCCACAUGAUCAUCCGCAGUGUUCAUCUGGACAGUCAGGGGGCAUACUUCUGCACUUUUAGACAGAAUGGAACACUGUUAUAUAAUGUCUCUAAUGCUGUCAGAAUUGAGGAAGUUUCGUCUGAUGCCACUCUCACAAUGUACAGAGAGAGCUCCAACAGCUCUCUGGUGACACUGUUUUGUAUGACAUCAGAUGGGUACAUCUAUGCAUCAUGGUCCUGGACCCCAUUAUCUACAGCUAAAGAGGUUCACCUUGUGACAACUACAAUGUACGGAUCCAAUGACACGUUUAAUGAGAGAUUUUCAUGCGGGGACUUCAAUGGAUACUACUUCCCUCUCUACUUCUCACCUGUGAAGUUUGAAGAUUCUGGAAGGUUCAACUGCUAUUUUGAAAACCUCCUAGUUGCCUCUAUUAAUGUGGUAACCCUAAAGGUCUCCGCAGUUCCGCCUAGUGGAUUCCCCAGGAAUCAUCCGGUGGUCCUGAGAUGUGAGGUGUCGGAGGUGAGCACCGACCCUGUGACCCUAGCCUGGCUGAGGAUGGAAGGGAGCAGGGGGCUGCUGGUCAAACAGGACAUCCUGACAGAGAGUCACCCCAACAAGACGCUCAGUGUGACCCUGCCCAGCCUCCGUAGGGACCAGCUGCACUGGCAGUGUGCUGUGUUCACAGAGGGCAUGCUCAGAGUGACAGCCUCCCUGACCCUCACACUCCCCACACAGACAACAAUGUCGUCAAUGACAGGGAUGGGCACCGAGACAGUGGUCAGAGGGGUGAUUACAAUGGCUGCCACCCUAGGAAUUCUGGGACUUCUCGGGUUCUACUGUCGAAGACCAAACAGUAAGGAGACACUCCCUCUUGGAUAGACGCAACCCAAUCACAAAGGAAUGGGACAUUGAGGAACCAUAAAAAAUAUCUGCCUUAGGCACCCGGACACAGAGACAAAAGGAGGAACCUGCUCAACUGGAGGAGACUAGUGUAUAGCCUUGUUGCUAGCCUAUGGCCUGUGGCUGUGUUGAAAUAUAGCUUUCCCACCCAUGUCUGUACCAACCAGUGAAGUCUUUCACACUGAAUUACCACAUGACACACUGUGUUCUGUCAAAAGGUCUGGCAAUAGAAACUUCACUGGUGUUAAAAUAAUGUGUUAACCACCAACAACCUUCCCCUCAAAGACUAAUAUUGAAACCAUGACCAUGUUAUGAUACUGUAAGCAUCUUUCCAAAAGACCUAAAUAAUUUACACUGAGUGCACAAAACAUUAUGAACACCUGCUCUUUCCAUGACAUAGUCUGACCAGGUGAAUCCAGGUGAA